AAUCAGCUGUUCGAUGAUAUUAAAACAACUAAAGCUCCAAGGACCAAGGUAAGCAAUCUCUCUCAGAGAACCCAUUGUUACUCCUUUAUUCUCUGAUUUCUAACUUGAGCGUCGAAGGAUCCUUACCGAAGCGAAAGCCUCCAGCUUGGACUUAUUUUGUAGGUUGCUUCAACAUUCUUGCACAAGGUUUAAUCGCCUGCCUUCUGACCUCCACA
rnacentral:lncRNA from 1 species